ensembl:lncRNA
UGCAGCUCCGCCAUCUUUAGUCAUCACGGUUCUUUUGUCGCUGCUGCUAAUAACCAGCGGUGCUCCGAAGCGCUUGCUCAUGACCCCAGUUGGUGUGUGUAAAAGCACAGAUUGGAAGAGUGUCACUACAAUUAUAUCUUUAAAUUCAAGUUCAUCACUCUGUGCUUGCUUUGUUAGUUGUUGUUCUGUGUUAAGACCAGCCUGUGGGUUUCUCGUUUAUAAAAUGAAAAGGCUCGUCACAUACAGUACCGUGCAAAAAUCUUGUGGCACCCCUCAUUUUUUUUUAUAUUUUGCUAGACAAAUUGAGAAUCGAUGCAGGGUAUUAUUCAAAUGUUCAAAUAUAAAUGGAAGUAAUGGUAUAUGAAACACAAAUAAUCACACAACUUCAGCCUUUUCUCCAUUUCCUUUCCUUAACACCAGAUGCAUCAAUUGGAGCUUUGUUUGUUUGUUGUUUUUUUUAAGGUUAGCUACUUCUUUUACUUCUUUUUGUCUUGUACUUCCUCAAGUUUUUAAUGACACAGUGCACACCAUGCUGGAAAAUGCCACAUUUUCAGCUAAUAGCUCUUUGGGAAUCACUUUGUUGGUGAAACAGUACUAUUUUAAGUCUGUCAAACUGUAUUAUCUUUGGCAAUUUUCAGUAUGUUGCGCUAAUUAGCUAGGAAAUCCCAACCAUUAGCAUAGGGUAUGGUUAGGUUGCCAGAUGAUUGUGAGGAACACAGAAAGACACCAGUUUAGCUCAAUGUGCAUGUCUUUGGACUGUGGCAAAGAGCCAGGUAUCUGGAGAGAACCCCACAGACGCAGGGAGAACUCCACACAGAAAAGCCCCAGCUGGUUGCUGGAUUCAGGAUCUUCCACGAGCUCCUAGCUGUGAUUUUCAAAAUUAAAGUUAUUAUGAAUACAGAAAAAUCUGGGCAGAUUUUGAUCCACUGUGCAAUAUCCAGGAAGUGUCUGUUUUUUUUUUUUUUUGAUGAAGCAUUUUAGUUAGAUCAAAACUGGAUUGAAGGGGAAAUGAUGUAUGCACUCCGCAUUGGACGGGAAACCAUCUCAUCUGAAGCAGGUGACUGUGUUUUUUCAACUUUUGGUAUCUUUGAAUCCUGAAUCUGACCACUGGGCACCGGUAAGGCUAGUCAUUAGUAGAUGGACCGAUCCGAUAUUACCUAUCGGUAUCGGUCCGAUACAGACCCAAAUUACUGGAUCGGAUAUCGGCGAGAAAUAAAAAAUGUAAUCGAUCCAUUAAAUAUCAAUAAAGGACCUCACAAAACUUGCUACACAGCGUAACUCGGCUCAUAACUGUAGCACGUGAUAGAGCGGCUGUGUGUAUUUGUAGCCUUGCUACCAAACCAGCAUUUCAUCUCAGAGAAAGUGAUCCCAGAGAGAAGUAAAGUAAGUGUAUAACAUU